rnacentral:rRNA from 1 species
GGUUAAGCGACUAAGCGUACACGGUGGAUGCCCUGGCAGUCAGAGGCGAUGAAGGACGUGCUAAUCUGCGAUAAGCGUCGGUAAGGUGAUAUGAACCGUUAUAACCGGCGAUUUCCGAAUGGGGAAACCCAGUGUGAUUCGUCACACUAUCAUUAACUGAAUCCAUAGGUUAAUGAGGCGAACCGGGGGAACUGAAACAUCUAAGUACCCCGAGGAAAAGAAAUCAACCGAGAUUCCCCCAGUAGCGGCGAGCGAACGGGGAGCAGCCCAGAGCCUGAAUCAGUGUGUGUGUUAGUGGAAGCGUCUGGAAAGGCGCGCGAUACAGGGUGACAGCCCCGUACACAAAAAUGCACAUACUGUGAGCUCGAUGAGUAGGGCGGGACACGUGGUAUCCUGUCUGAAUAUGGGGGGACCAUCCUCCAAGGCUAAAUACUCCUGACUGACCGAUAGUGAACCAGUACCGUGAGGGAAAGGCGAAAAGAACCCCGGCGAGGGGAGUGAAAAAGAACCUGAAACCGUGUACGUACAAGCAGUGGGAGCCUCUUAAUGGGGUGACUGCGUACCUUUUGUAUAAUGGGUCAGCGACUUAUAUUCUGUAGCAAGGUUAACCGAAUAGGGGAGCCGAAGGGAAACCGAGUCUUAACUGGGCGUUAAGUUGCAGGGUAUAGACCCGAAACCCGGUGAUCUAGCCAUGGGCAGGUUGAAGGUUGGGUAACACUAACUGGAGGACCGAACCGACUAAUGUUGAAAAAUUAGCGGAUGACUUGUGGCUGGGGGUGAAAGGCCAAUCAAACCGGGAGAUAGCUGGUUCUCCCCGAAAGCUAUUUAGGUAGCGCCUCGUGAAUUCAUCUCCGGGGGUAGAGCACUGUUUCGGCAAGGGGGUCAUCCCGACUUACCAACCCGAUGCAAACUGCGAAUACCGGAGAAUGUUAUCACGGGAGACACACGGCGGGUGCUAACGUCCGUCGUGAAGAGGGAAACAACCCAGACCGCCAGCUAAGGUCCCAAAGUCAUGGUUAAGUGGGAAACGAUGUGGGAAGGCCCAGACAGCCAGGAUGUUGGCUUAGAAGCAGCCAUCAUUUAAAGAAAGCGUAAUAGCUCACUGGUCGAGUCGGCCUGCGCGGAAGAUGUAACGGGGCUAAACCAUGCACCGAAGCUGCGGCAGCGACACUAUGUGUUGUUGGGUAGGGGAGCGUUCUGUAAGCCUGUGAAGGUGUACUGUGAGGUAUGCUGGAGGUAUCAGAAGUGCGAAUGCUGACAUAAGUAACGAUAAAGCGGGUGAAAAGCCCGCUCGCCGGAAGACCAAGGGUUCCUGUCCAACGUUAAUCGGGGCAGGGUGAGUCGACCCCUAAGGCGAGGCCGAAAGGCGUAGUCGAUGGGAAACAGGUUAAUAUUCCUGUACUUGGUGUUACUGCGAAGGGGGGACGGAGAAGGCUAUGUUGGCCGGGCGACGGUUGUCCCGGUUUAAGCGUGUAGGCUGGUUUUCCAGGCAAAUCCGGAAAAUCAAGGCUGAGGCGUGAUGACGAGGCACUACGGUGCUGAAGCAACAAAUGCCCUGCUUCCAGGAAAAGCCUCUAAGCAUCAGGUAACAUCAAAUCGUACCCCAAACCGACACAGGUGGUCAGGUAGAGAAUACCAAGGCGCUUGAGAGAACUCGGGUGAAGGAACUAGGCAAAAUGGUGCCGUAACUUCGGGAGAAGGCACGCUGAUAUGUAGGUGAAGUCCCUCGCGGAUGGAGCUGAAAUCAGUCGAAGAUACCAGCUGGCUGCAACUGUUUAUUAAAAACACAGCACUGUGCAAACACGAAAGUGGACGUAUACGGUGUGACGCCUGCCCGGUGCCGGAAGGUUAAUUGAUGGGGUUAGCGGUAACGCGAAGCUCUUGAUCGAAGCCCCGGUAAACGGCGGCCGUAACUAUAACGGUCCUAAGGUAGCGAAAUUCCUUGUCGGGUAAGUUCCGACCUGCACGAAUGGCGUAAUGAUGGCCAGGCUGUCUCCACCCGAGACUCAGUGAAAUUGAACUCGCUGUGAAGAUGCAGUGUACCCGCGGCAAGACGGAAAGACCCCGUGAACCUUUACUAUAGCUUGACACUGAACAUUGAGCCUUGAUGUGUAGGAUAGGUGGGAGGCUUUGAAGUGUGGACGCCAGUCUGCAUGGAGCCGGCCUUGAAAUACCACCCUUUAAUGUUUGAUGUUCUAACGUUGGCCCCUGACCGGGGUUGCGGACAGUGUCUGGUGGGUAGUUUGACUGGGGCGGUCUCCUCCUAAAGAGUAACGGAGGAGCACGAAGGUUGGCUAAUCCUGGUCGGACAUCAGGAGGUUAGUGCAAUGGCAUAAGCCAGCUUGACUGCGAGCGUGACGGCGCGAGCAGGUGCGAAAGCAGGUCAUAGUGAUCCGGUGGUUCUGAAUGGAAGGGCCAUCGCUCAACGGAUAAAAGGUACUCCGGGGAUAACAGGCUGAUACCGCCCAAGAGUUCAUAUCGACGGCGGUGUUUGGCACCUCGAUGUCGGCUCAUCACAUCCUGGGGCUGAAGUAGGUCCCAAGGGUAUGGCUGUUCGCCAUUUAAAGUGGUACGCGAGCUGGGUUUAGAACGUCGUGAGACAGUUCGGUCCCUAUCUGCCGUGGGCGCUGGAGAACUGAGGGGGGCUGCUCCUAGUACGAGAGGACCGGAGUGGACGCAUCACUGGUGUUCGGGUUGUCAUGCCAAUGGCACUGCCCGGUAGCUAAAUGCGGAAGAGAUAAGUGCUGAAAGCAUCUAAGCACGAAACUUGCCCCGAGAUGAGUUCUCCCUGACUCCUUGAGGGUCCUGAAGGAACGUUGAAGACGACGACGUUGAUAGGCCGGGUGUGUAAGCGCAGCGAUGCGUUGAGCUAACCGGUACUAAUGAACCGUGAGGCUUAACCUU